UACAGAGGUCUCAAGCGUUGUUCGGAUUCAUUGGGCGUAAAGAGCGUGUAGGCGGCCCGGUAAGUCCGCUGUGAAAGUCCAGGGCUCAACCCUGGAAUGCCGGUGGAAACUGUCGGGCUAGAGUCCGGAAGAGGCGAGUGGAAUUCCUGGUGUAGCGGUGAAAUGCGUUGAUAUCGAUAGGAACUCCGGUGGCGAAGGCGGCAUGACUGGACCACUUCUGACGCUGAGGCGCGAAAGCCAGGGGAGCGGAACGGG
rnacentral:rRNA from 1 species